AGUGAACGCUGGCGGUAGGCCUAACACAUGCCAGUCGAACGGCAGCACAGUAAGCUCUUGCUCUUACGGGUGGCGAGUGGCGGACGGGUGACGAAUACAUCGGAAUCUACUUUUUCGUGGGGGAUAACGUAGGGCAACUUACGCUAAUACCGCAUACGACCUACGGGUGAAAGCAGGGGAUAUUCGGACCUUUCGCGAUUGAAUGAGCCGAUGUCGGAUUAGCUAGUUGGCUGGGUAAAGGCCCACCAAGGCGACGAUCCGUAGCUGGUCUGAGAGGAUGAUCAGCCACACUGGAACUGAGACACGGUCCAGACUCCUACGGGAGGCAGCAGUAGGGAAUAUUGGGCAAUGGGCGAAAGCCUGACCCAGCAACGCCGCGUGAGUGAAGAAGGCCUUCGGGUCGUAAAGCCCUGUUGUUAGGGAAGAAAAGAUGCGGGUGAAACCCUGGCUGUUCUGACGGUACCUAAAGAAUAAGCACCGGCUAACUACGUG
rnacentral:rRNA from 1 species